rnacentral:rRNA from 1 species
GACGAACGCUGGCGGCGUGCUUAACACAUGCAAGUCGAACGGAAAGGCCCUGCUUUUGUGGGGUGCUCGAGAGGCGAACGGGUGAGUAACACGAGAGUAACCUGCCCUUGACUUUGGGAUAACUUCAGGAAACUGGGGCUAAUACCGGAUAGGAGCUCCUGCUGCAUGGUGGGGGUUGGAAAGUUUCGGCGGUUGGGGAUGGACUCGCGGCUUAUCAGCUUGUUGGUGGGGUAGUGGCUUACCAAGGCUUUGACGGGUAGCCGGCCUGAGAGGGUGACCGGCCACAUUGGGACUGAGAUACGGCCCAGACUCCUACGGGAGGCAGCAGUGGGGAAUAUUGCGCAAUGGGCGGAAGCCUGAUGCAGCAACGCCGCGUGCGGGAUGACGGCCUUCGGGUUGUAAACCGCUUUCGCCUGUGACGAAGCGUGAGUGACGGUAAUGGGUAAAGAAGCACCGGCUAACUACGUG